GCGGAGGGGGGGCGCCCCCGCCCUCCUCCAGCCUCUACCUCUGGUCGCCCCCCCAUCCCCGCCGCCUCUCUCAGCGUGGCGGGGUCGGAGCCGCCGCCCGGCGCGGGCAGCAGCGCCGUGAGGGGCUGCCCCGUUCCCGGGCCCUGCCGUUACCUGGGAGAGCCGGGGCUAUUUUUAACCUGGAUGUGUUCUGUGAUUUGUUUCCCACACAGCACAGAAAAUGGCACAGCUGAGGGGCUGGGAGCCAGGAGGGCUGGCACUUGGGACACCUCCUCCUGGUGGGCUGCCAAGGACGGUGGCAGUGUCCUCCCGCCGAGGGCGGUGGCCCCGGGCACACGGCAUCAGUCCCCGCUGCUCGCCUGACCCUCCCCUCGAGACCUGCUUCUGCUGGGAGAGACAAGCAAGCAUCCACUUUUAAAGAUCAAGGGGAGGCAGAUUCAAGCUGAAGUGCCAGCAGUAACUGACCUCGGAUCAAGUAAUCUUGGAGUGGCCAAGUCUGACCUACCAGCACAGAGACUAGGGCAGUUUUGACCAAGAGGAUUAUUUAACUGCUGGAGCUUGCAGGGGAGCACAGCUGGGGAACAGGACGGUCCUUUCCAGCAACAACCUUCAGCAGCUCUUCUUUAAACAGGGGACUUAAUCUACCUAUGGCAUUCCUCUUCACCAAACACCACUUCCAUUGAUUAAAAGCAGUUUUAUAGCAAACACAGGUGAAGGCUUCGGCCUGAAAUCCAUGUGCCAGCUCAGCUGAAUUACAGGCACGUUCCAAGUGCUCCUGAGAAAACCACAGCGAAUCCAGAGAACUCGGGAAGCUUUGGUGCAUCUCCCACCCAACACCAGCCUCUGGAGUGAGAUACAGGGGGUUCUGUUCCUCAGUAAGCAGCACUGAUAAUUACAUUACCUACCCUCUCCAGCCUUGAGCACGCUCUGCUUGUUAUCAACGUGCUAAAGUCAAAGGAAAGGCCAAGGCUGCGCCUGGCCGCUGGGAAAGCGCCCGCUACUCAUCUUUCAGGUUCAGCUGAAUCCUCUAGGUUACCUCUGUCAACAUCAAGCACCGAGAACAAAGGCACAAGAUUAUGGGGAUCUCAUUAAGUAUGCUUGUUCCAAGAACAAGAAAUGUGUCUACUUUCCUCUGAUGACCUGGGAAAACAAAAAAACCCUUCAGCACAGAAAAUUUAUUUGUCAUCAGUUACGAGCAUUUGAAUGUGUCAUAUCCAGUUUAAGGAGAAAAAAAUGUCUGUCUGUCCUACGCUUUCUAUACUGAGACCUUGCAAACAGCAUCAUUCUUCUGCUUGAAACAGAAAGCAGGGAUGUACAUAUCUGAGAACACCAACACGCACAAAAACCCCCAAAUCCUUAGGGUAUUAAGUGAGCCAUUUAACUAAGUAUUUAAAACCUCUGCAAUUAUUAGUUUAUUAGUAUCAUCCAGGAUUCAGAUGUUCAAUAUUUCUCCUGAAGUUAUACAUAAAUGCAAAUUGAAAUAAGAAUCUGAAAGUCAAAAUUGUAUAACAAAACAAUACUCCAUCACAAAAGCGUGUAAAAUUACAAGAAUGCUUUUUUUUGUUUGUUUUUAAACACUGGCACUUAAGAGAACCAUAAUUUUGUAACCACAAAAUUGCCGAAUUGUCCCCCAAACUGGUAAGCAGGUAUAUGUGAAAAUAGUUACAGCUGCCAGCACUUGAAGUUUUACUAAAUAUGCAAAAAACCCCUUAGCUUUGGUUUUGGAAGAGAACUGUAUUUGACCAAAUUAGACAUUGUUGGUAUACCAUAAACAUUUAACUUUUUAAUGCAAAAUUUAAUAAAAUGUACUUUUCCAUA